rnacentral:rRNA from 1 species
AUGACUUCCUGCUGUCCGAGAGGGGAUGCCGCCGUCGCCGCCGCCCACCACCCCCACCCCGGCGACUCAGGUGCGUCCCUCCACUCCAUCUCCUCCUCCUCACAUCCCUCCCUCACUUCCUCACCUCGUGUUCUAUCCCUCCCAGAUCCAGGAUGCCAUGGGCGGGAUGGCCUCUUCCUCCCCUGCGUCGGCGUGUGGUAGCAUGACCGGGUCGAGAUCAUCGCCAACGACCAGGGCAACCGCACCAUGCCCUCCUACGUCGCCUUCACCAACACCGAGCGCCUAAUUGGCGCCGCCGCCAAGAACUACGUUGUCUGUUAG